AUAUAUAUAUAUACACAAACACAUGCAGAGAGCAGAUCUCUUGUGUGAAAAGGUGCCAUUUUUUUCUAACCAGAGUCCCUUUCCAAACUAGAACAGCACUUUAAAUAGGUUCCUCUUUAAAAAAAAAAAAAAA